UUUUCUUUCACAGUUUAGCAGUCUUUUUUGGAUUUCAGCACAGUGAACUAACACUUUCCUGGAUUCCAAGACCUCCAGAGAACCAGAUGGAUGAGAGGAACUGGGAAAAAGAACCCACACUGUUUGAAAAAGGGGUGCCACACGCCAGGUCUCCUAGGGAGAAGCAGCUUGGUACUGCUGGACACCUACCCACUCUCUCAUGUUCAACUGGACAGUCUGCUCCCUAAUGCAACCAAGGACUCCUUGGAGCAAGACUUAUACGUCGGCUUGUCACCUGCUCUUAUGUUCUUCUCACUGACAUCAGACCAGACAUUUCCAUACUUUGAGUCAAAGUGUCCUCUCCUCUGGAGAAUUUCUGGAACAAGUCCCUCUCUAACAGAAUGCAUUUCUCCUCUGCCAUUAAGAAUGCCUCACUGUCAGCCUGUUUCUCUCUGUGUUCUUGGUUUUGUUUUUGUCUUCAGUGUAUUUUGAACUUUGGGGGAUGGGGUCCAUGCCUUCAAUUAUCAUUUCCAUUCCAUAGCUAACAAAGUGUCUGUUAUGGGCAUUAGGUAUGUAGUAAGUGUUCUUUGACUCAUGAGUGAGGAAAUAAAUCGAAGAGGUGAUUUUCUUGAGAUAA
rnacentral:lncRNA from 1 species